rnacentral:rRNA from 1 species
AUUGAACGCUGGCGGCAUGCCUUACACAUGCAAGUCGAACGGCAGCACGGGAGCAAUCCUGGUGGCGAGUGGCGAACGGGUGAGUAAUAUAUCGGAACGUGCCCAGUCGUGGGGGAUAACGUAGCGAAAGCUACGCUAAUACCGCAUACGAUCUACGGAUGAAAGCGGGGGAUCGCAAGACCUCGCGCGAUUGGAGCGGCCGAUAUCAGAUUAGGUAGUUGGUGAGGUAAAGGACUCACCAAGCCGACGAUCUGUAGCUGGUCUGAGAGGACGACCAGCCACACNGGGUUUUAC